rnacentral:rRNA from 1 species
CCUACGGGAGGCAGCAGUGGGGAAUAUUGGGCAAUGGACGCAAGUCUGACCCAGCAACGCCGCGUGAAGGAAGAAGGCUUUCGGGUUGUAAACUGCUUUUAAGGGGGAAGAGCAGAAGACGGUACCCCUUGAAUAAGCCACGGCUAACUACGUGCCAGCAGCCGGGGUAAUACGUAGGUGGCAAGCGUUGUCCGGAUUUACUGGGUGGAAAGGGCGUGCAGCCGGAGAGACAAGUCAGAUGUGAAAUCCACAGGCUCAACCUGUGAACUGCAUUUGAAACUGGUUCCCUUGAGUAUCGGAGAGGUCAUCGGAAUUCUUAGUGAAGCGGUGAAAUGCGUAGAUAUUAGGAAGAACACCAGCGGCGAAGGCAGAUUACUGGACGACAACUGACGGUGAGGAGCGAAAGCGUGGGGAGCAAACAGGAUUAGAUACCCGGGUAGUC